UUAAGCCCACCAAGAGGUCUUUGGCAAGGUGAUAACACUAUCCGCACCACCACCUCAAACCUUACUUCUACUACUAAAUUUACACUCUUUAACGACAAUUACGAUAUAGCAAGUUCUAGACAUGUGUUGGGUGAAGAAACAAGGAAAACUGGUACAGCAAUCAUGAACCCCAACUUGUUUUUAGGGUUUUGGUUAUUCAAUUUAAUAGCAUUUGGGCUUCCAGUUCUUCUAACCGUUUUGUUUUUAUCCAAUGUACCUAGUAUUCUUCUCAUCCCGCUUUAUUAUCUAUCCGUCUCCUACUUCAACUGCAUGACAAUAAUAUCUCCUUCCUCGUUUUGGGCAAGCAUCAACUAUGUUAUCAUGUGGGCAGCCAUUGGUCUCCCGUUGCUCUUAGUUGUUAGAAGCGUAUGGUUAUGGAAGCAGCCAAAGUACAGGGAAAUCAGACAAUUACGCAGACUUUUCCGCAAGUAAAAUAAUGUUGGAACCAUUCAACGGUUGCGAAUGUCAAUGUUGUUUAUAUGUUCUCUUACGUUAUGUACUUUUUUCCAUUUUCGGUAAAAAAUUUAUGUAAUUGUUUUGGAUAAAUUUAAUAAAUAAGAUUACUUUUUCCAACAAUAUCUUUGUCCUUUGCAACAGAAAAAAAAAACAUAGAAAAACCAACCAUCCUAUUUUAUAAUUUAAAAGAAUAUUUUCCUUUUUGUAAAAAGAGAUAUUUUCGAAGUAUUGUUAAUUCAAAAUUAACAAAUUUUUUAAUAAAUCGAUAUUAUUCUCUAAAUAUUUUCUAAAAAAAAUACAAAUUCAUAAACAACAGCUAUAUUCUUUUUCGUUGUGAUUUCGGCAAUAUAAGGCCGAAUUAAAUUUGUAAAAAGGGGUUACGAAGAUUGUAUCAAGAAACGAUUAGAAGAAUAUAAAAAAAAACAACACAGAGAAAAAUAGCAAUUUGGAGAGGUGAUUUUCUCUUUGGGAUUUUCUUUUCAUUUUUUCCUUUUGAUUUACUGUUUUUUGCAUAAAACAAAUAGAAAAGAAAAGGAGGAACCAUACCUGGGAGGCGUGCUUGCGAAGCCCUUCCUUGUUCUGUGCAGGGUGCAGAAUGAAGGAGUAGAGGGCUUUUGGGAAGAAGCGGCGCACGCAGGAGAGGAAUAACCUAGGGGUUUUUUUUUUUUUUAAAACCUUUAAAUGGCUUUUAUGCAGCAUACAACACGGCACCGUUUGGAGCCUGAUCAGUGGUUUCAAAACGGUGCCGUAUAGGCCUGUACCCAUGCGCGACCCGAUCCGACCCUGAGAGGAUCCGCGCGUUUUGUAAAUGGUUUAUUUUCUCGUUUGAUCCUUCUUGUUUUUCAAAAUGUGUUUAAUUAUUUUUUUCUUUUUAAAUUCAAUCACAAGUUUUAUUUCUGUUCUAAUUUAAUCCCCUAUCUGUUAUUAGUUAUUUAUUAUUAAUUAUUUUUACUAUUAUUUUUAUUAUUGUAUAAUAUCAUUUUUAUGGUGUUAUUAUUACCAUUACAACCAUAUUUAUGCAUACAUUUUUUUUGAAAUAUACGUACAUUUUUUUUAUAAUUUAUAUAUGUACAUACGUUUUUUAUAUUACACAAUUUAUAUACGUAUCUUUAUAUAUAUUUAAAUACAUAUUACUUUAAUUUUCAUAAAUAUAUAUAUACAUUUACAUUUUAUAAUACAUAUACAUUUUCCAAACUUUAUAGUCCAUACGUAUAUACAUUCAUUUUCUAUAAUAUACAUAUACGUACAUUUUUUGAAAUUAUUAUAAAUAUUUUUUUUUGCAUAUUUCAUUUUUUAUAUACAUAUACUUAUAUAUACAUAUUUUAAUACAUGCAUAUACAUAUUUUCAUAGUUUACUUAUAUAUUAUACUUAUACAUUUUUUAUAUUUUGUAAAUAUAAGCCGACCGAGAGGUCUUUGGCAAGGUGAUAACACUAGUAACCCCACCACCACCUCAAACCUUACUACUACCACUAAAUUUAAACUCUUUAACGACAAUUACGCUGAAAAACUUUCUAAACAUGUGUUGGGUGAAGAAACAAUGAAACCUGGUACAGCAAUCAUGAAUCCCAACUUGUUUUUAGGGUUUUGGUUAUUCAAUUUUAUAGCAUUUGGGCUUCCGGUUCUUCUAACCGUUUUCCUUUUAUACGAUGUAGCUCGUAUUCUUCUUCUCCCGCUUUAUUUUCUAUCCGUCUCCUACUUUAACUGCAUGACAAUAAUAUCUCCGUCCAUGUUUUGGGCAAACCUCAACUUUGUUGUCAUGUGGACAGCCAUUAUUCUCCCGUCUGUCUUAGUUUUUGGAGGCGUAUGGUUAUGUAUGCUGCCAAAGCACCGGGAAAUCAGACAAAUACGCAGACGUGUCCGCAAUGACAAUAAUAUCGGAAUAAUUCAGUACUUGCGAAUGUCAGUCUAACUUAUAUAUUAUAUUUAUGUACCCUUUUCCAUUUUCUCUGUAUUAAUAUCUUUUCUUUUUGAAAAAAGAAAAAACACUAUGUAAUUGCUUUGGAUAAAUUUAAUAAAAACAGAUAUACCUAGAGAUGAUUUGUGGAGGAAGGCAAAUGGGAGAGAGAUCAGACAACAUACAUAGAAUAUGGAAAGAAGAUGUGUUGAAGGAAAUACGGGACCGCAUGUAGGGAAGAAUGCAAGUGAGAUUAUGGCAAAUAAUAAACAACAUGAAGAAAAUGACCCAAUCAAGUUGGACGAGAGGGUGGAAGAUUUAUGAAUUUCCAGAACAAAGUAGUAGAGGGAGCCAUUGAUGGAGAGAACUUGAAGUGGCUUGAAAAAUGUAUUGUGGGUAGAAUGAGAAACAAUGCUACUGUGGGGUUAUGGGGUGAUACUGGAAUUUAUAAAAUUGGAGUCAAAAGAUUAUCGGAUAAUGAUUUGUAUGAAUUGGAAGCCAAUGAAUGGGGAGAUGUUUUGUAAGUGUUCAGAAAGUUGAACGGUGGACCACAAAGAUGAAAGAUUAAGGUGGUUAUCCUGUUACGAGAUUCCAAUACAUGCUUGGUCUUCGAGGAGGAAGUAGUUAAACAACUUGCUGGCUUGCUGCUAUUGAAUAUUAUAAUUGGUUUGAUUUAUUAUUUUUGGUACAAACAAUCAAGACUCAAACAGUCAAUCGACUGUCGGAUAGAGCACGUGCAACCAACCUAACAUAUGAGAAUAUAUCCAGAAGAAGAAACUUAUCCAAGUCCAACCCCCCACAAGUUGCCAAUCGGCUCAUCCCAUUGACCUUUCCACACCUUCGAAUUGAUUGGUGCAAUGCGAGGUCCAAUAUUGGAAGGAGAAUGGAAUCUAAACCGUGGGACCACACUUAAGCCGGCGUCCUAAAUGACUAGAUGCGUGGAAGACGGUGGGUAUUCUUUCACCCAAUAACAUCACUACAUAUACACAAACCAUGUCUGCCCAUCUUGUGGGCUACUUGUGAUAAAACAGGAAAACAAUGAAAAAUAAUAAUAUAAAGAAGAGAAACAAAAUCCACACCUAAUAUAAUUUUUCCUAAAUACAAGAAAACAAGUUUUGGGAUAAAAAAUCAUAUCCAAGAUUAAAGGAUUCAAUUCAUUUAGACUUGAAUGUUAAUUGAAUGAUUAAACAUUCAAAUCUCGUUAAAUUCAUGAACAGCUUUUCAUUAGAUAGAAUAUUCUCUAUUUCUUAAAUUUAAUUCUUUUAUAUUAAGAUCUGUUUGAGACAUUAAAAAUUGGUUUAAUUUACCAAAAUAAUAAUAAUGAGGCCCAUGGUUUUGGAAUCUUUUCUAUGUCACAGCUAUGGCGAUGGGGUCAAGACACAACUGUCCUUUUUUGAGGUCAAAUAAAUUGAUUAAAAAUAUCCACCAAAAUGAUAAGAAUGUACAUAAUUCAUCUUAUUUUUAAACUGAUAUUCCUAAGUAUAUUAUAUAUUUUUAAUACUGAUAUUUCUUAAUAAAUUUGUUUCUAAAUUAAAUAUUUUUUUUCAAAAUCAUCUUAAAGUUUUUGAAACUUAUGUUUGUUUAAAUAUUAAAAUAAUUUUUAAUACACUGCUUGUGGAAAAAGUUUGACAAAAUAUAAUAAAAUAUCAAAAAAAAGACGCAUACCAAUACACAAAAUAUAUUAUCUAUUUUAUAACAUAUUAUUUAAAAUAAAUAUUUUAUUUUCUAAAAGUAAUUUUUUACCGCAAUACCAAAAAUAUAAAUUUUAGAGUAAAAUUUCUGAAAGCGAAGCUGGUCAACUUGCCUUGAAACAGAUGGCGAAAAUGAGUCCAAAUUAUAUCGGAGCGAGAAACAGGGAGUGGGAUUCAAGAUUUUGACGUACUGUAUAGGCGGCCACCGAUUUAUAUCCCUCGUCAUAUAUAGAUAUAUUAAUCAUUUUUUAAAAUUUUCGAUAUUUAUAUUCAAUAUAAAUCUACCCUUGACGGAUUAAUUAGUUUAGUGUAAGCUUGGUUUAAAUCAGUUGAGGUUGCAAAUAAGGAUAGUCAGUUUGCAACUCUCCUAAUAUUUUCAUCAUUUAAAGAAAGAAACAAAAGCAUGGAUCCAAGCUUGAGAGAAGUAGCUGGAACAGGAGAUACUGAUGCCUUGUACGCUCUAAUUCGAAAGGAUCCGUACAUGUUGGAGCAUAUUGAUCAGAUUCCUUUCAUCGAUACUCCACUUCACAUAGCAGCAAAUGAAGGUCAAAUUAAGUUUGCAAUGGAGAUGAUCAACUUGAAGCCUUCGUUUGGUCGGAAGCUAAACCAAGACGGGUUUAGCCUGUUAGAAAUCAAACCCACUCCAAGCAUAAUCUAGAAGCAUGAGACGUGGAGCAAUUUUGUGCUAUGCAAAGUGCUGAAAUUUUAGCCAUACAAAGUGCUCCAUUAUUGAGAUGUUUUGUGGCUGGAAAUUAAGUGGAUUAAUAGCCACAUUUGUUGUCACUUUAUCAGCCUAUAAAUAGAGGCUUGAACUUGUGUUGUAAUGAAGAAAAAUGAGAAGAAAAAAGAAAUAAGAGAAGCAACGUGAGUGAGAGUGAGAAGGUUAGCAAACCUUGAGUGAGUUAAAAUCUAGCAGCAGCUAGACUAUCUAGUCAUUGAGAAAAUAUUUGUAAUCUUCGUAUUGUAAUAUAUUGAGUGUGUAAUAAAAAGUAAAUUUUCGGCCCAUCACGUUUCCAACAAGUGGCAUCAGAGCUACGGUUCGGAGCUUGGUUCGGAGUUCGGUUCGUGUCCGGUUCGUGUCCAGUUCGGAGUACCUUUGGUGUUCAUCUAACAAGUCGAUAUGGGCGACGUAAUUCAGCUACAAGUUCCACAAUUGACGAAGACAAAUUAUGGAAAUUGGAGCAUUCGAAUGAAGGCUUUGCUCGGUUCGCAAGAUUGUUGGGAGAUCGUUGAAAAAGGAUACAUCGAGCCCGGAGAUGCCGCUACAGAAGCAGCUUUAUCAAAUGACGCUAAGAAGGCGUUACGAGAAGCACGAAAGAAGGAUCAAAAGGCCUUGAAUAGUAUCUUUCAAGGAAUGGAUGAAUCAACCUUCGAGAAAAUAUCAGAUGUGAAGAACGCGAAGAAUGCAUGGGAGAUUUUGCAAAAAUCAUUUCAAGGUGUAGAAAAAGCUAAAAAGGUACGCCUUCAGUCACUUAGAGCUGAAUUUGAAAUGUUAAAAAUGAAGAGCUCCGAGAAUAUCGAUGACUAUGCCAAUCGUGUAAAAUCGGUGGUAAAUGAAAUGAAACGAAAUGGAGAAACUCUUGACGAGGUAAGAGUGAUGGAGAAAAUUCUACGGUCACUCACACGCAAAUUCGAGUACGUAGUCGUUGCCAUCGAAGAAUCAAAAGAUUUGUCAAAGAUGUCGCUCGAAGAACUUGUGGGUUCUCUGCAAGCCCAUGAGCAAAAGAUGAAGCUAAAUGAAGAUAGUGAAAAUCUUGAUCAAGCCUUGCAUAGCAAGUUGUCCGUCGACGACGGAGAAACAAGUAAUAACUUUAACCAAGGAAGAGGAAACCGCAGAGGAUACCGUGGAGGCUACCGUGGUGGAAACAGAGGAGGAAGAGGAUCACGAGGACAUGGAAAUCAAUCAUAUGGGAGAUAUCAAGAAAAUAAAGAUUAUCAAACAUCCAACCGUGGACGUGGAUCUAGAGGUCGUGGCCGAGGCAGAUUUCAAGAAAAUAAAUCUCAGGUACAAUGCUACAACUGUAACAAGUAUGGACAUUUCAGUUACGAGUGCAGAUCAACACACAAAGUGGAUGAAAGAAACCAUGUAGCAGUCGCAGCAGAAGGCAACGAAAAAGUGGAAUCAAGUGUCUUUCUCACUUACGGAGAAAAUGAAGAUCGCAAGAGAAGUGUGUGGUAUCUCGACAACGGUGCAAGCAACCACAUGUGUGGAAGAAAGGAGCUGUUCACAGAAUUAGAUGAAACAGUUCAUGGACAAAUAACUUUUGGAGACAACUCACAUGCAGAAAUCAAAGGAAAGGGCAAGGUUGUUAUAACACAAAGGAAUGGAGAGAAGAAGUACAUCUCAGACGUUUACUACGUACCAGCUUUGAAGAGCAACCUGAUCAGUCUUGGUCAACUCCUAGAAAAAGGAUAUGAAGUUCAUAUGAAAGACCGCUCACUCGCCAUCAGGAACAAAAGUGGAGAAUUAGUUGUUCGAGUUGAUAUGACGCGAAAUCGUCUUUUCACCCUCGACAUCGAGUCUGGAGAAGUAAAAUGCAUGAAGACGGAUCUGAAGAAUGAAUCAUGGUUGUGGCACUUAAGGUACGGACAUCUCGGAUUUUCUGGCUUGAAGCUGUUGUCGAAGACAAAUAUGGUGAAUGGAUUACCAAGUAUUAAUCAUCCAGAUCAACUGUGUGAAGCCUGUGUCAAAGGAAAGCAGCAUAGGCAGAAAUUUGAAGUAGGAAAAUCUCGAAGAGCUAGAAGACCAUUGGAAAUUGUACACACCGACAUAUCUGGUCCGUACGACAUUGAAUCACUCGGUGGAAACAGGUACUACCUAACUUUUAUUGAUGAUUAUAGCAGAAAAUGUUGGGUUUAUUUUCUCAAAGCAAAAUCGGAAGCCCUAGAAAAAUUCAAGGAGUUCAAAGCAAUGGUGGAAAAACAGAGUGGUCGAUAUUUGAAGAUACUCAGAUCCGAUAGAGGAGGCGAGUAUACUGCAAAGCUUUAUGAAAGUUUCUGCAAGGAUCAUAGAAUCAUUCAUUAGUUAACAGUCAGACGCACUCCACAACAAAACGGAGUUGCAGAAAGGAAGAAUCGGACAAUUCUGGAUAUGCCAAGAAGCAUGAUAAAAGGUAAACACCUUCCGAGAACUUUCUGGGCUGAAGCCGUUGAAUGCGCAGUUUAUCUGUUGAAUCAAUGUCCAACAAAAAGUGUAAGACACAAGACACCAGAAGAAGCAUGGAGCGGUCACAAGCCAAGAGUUGGACACCUCAAAAUUUUUGGAUGCAUUGCAUAUGCACACGUUCCUGAGCAACAGAGGAAAAAGCUUGACGAUAGAGGAGAGAAGUGUAUCUUUAUAGGCUAUGACAAAAGAAGUAAGGCCUACAGACUUUAUAAUCCUCUUACUAAGAAAUUGAUUAUCUCAAGAGAUGUCGAGUUCGAUGAAGCGGAUUACUGGAGAUGGAGUGAAGAAGAAAAGAAAGUGGAAGGAUUAUUUUUCAACGAAGACGACAAUAACCAAGAAGAACAAGGCGAUGAUCAAAGUCCUGGUACAACAGCCCCUUCGUCACCAACCAGCAGCAGCGGAAGCAGCAGCUCAGAUGAAGCACCCACAAGAACACGGAGUCUCAACGACAUCUACAAUUCUAUGGAACCUGUAGAGACGCAGUUCGAUUAUUCACUAUUCUGUCUAAUGACAGAAUGUGAUCCAGUGACGUACGAAGAAGCAAUUGAAAACAAUAAAUGGAAGAAGGCCAUGGACGAGGAGAUUGCUGCAAUAAGAAGGAAUGACACGUGGGAGCUAACAAGUCUGCCAGAAGGACAUAGCCCGAUUGGUGUCAAGUGGGUGUACAAGACGAAGACCAACAAAGAAGGAAAAGUAGAGAAAUACAAGGCAAGAGUAGUCGCCAAAGGCUACAAGCAAAGACAAGGAGUGGACUAUGAUGAAAUAUUUGCUCCAGUCGCAAGAAUAGACACAAUUAGGCUUCUCAUAGCGGUCGCAGCACAAUACAAAUGGAAAAUCUAUCAGAUGGACGUCAAGUCUGCAUUCCUGAAUGGCUACUUGGAGGAGGAAGUCUACAUAGAACAACCACCUGGAUAUAGCAUACAAGGAAAGGAGGACAAAGUCUACCGAUUGAAGAAAGCUUUGUAUGGAUUGAAGCAAGCCCCAAGAGCAUGGAACACAAGGAUCGACGAGUACUUCCGAAGAAAUGGAUUCAUCAAAAGCCCGCACGAGCACACCCUGUACACAAAGAAGAAUGGAUAUGGAGAUAUCAUGAUCGUAUGCCUAUAUGUGGAUGACAUGAUCUUCACCGGAAACAAUCCAGGUAUGUCUGAUGAUUUCAAGAAAGCUAUGACUAAAGAAUUUGAAAUGACAGAUAUCGGUGAGAUGUCAUACUUUCUUGGAGUCGAGGUGAAACAAAUGCAAGAUGGAAUUUUUGUCUCUCAAAAGAAGUAUGCGGAGCAGAUUUUGAACAAGUUCAAAAUGAAGGAUUGCAAGCCAGUAGUCACGCCAGCUGAUCCAGGGAUGAAGCUAAGUGUUGAUUCGACAAGGGAGUCGAUAAAUCCGACGUUGUUUAAAAGUCUCGUUGGAAGUUUAAGGUAUUUGACAAUCACACGACCAGAUAUUACAUAUGCAGUAGGAUUGGUGAGCAGAUUCAUGGAGAAGCCAAAGCAAGACCACUUAAUUGCCGCAAAAAGAAUUUUGAGAUAUAUCAAAGGUACGAUGAACCAUGGUUUAUUCUAUACCCACUCACAAGAUUCAAAAUUAGUUGGCUACUCAGAUAGCGAUUAUGGGGGAGACUUGGAUGAUCGGAAAAGCACUUCCGGAUAUGCAUUCCACAUCAGUUCCGCAGUUUUUUCAUGGUCGUCAAAGAAGCAACAAACAAUUGCUCUCUCAACAUGUGAAGCAGAGUAUAUGGCCGCAGCAACUUGUACAUGCCAAGCAAUGUGGUUGAAGAAUAUUUUGGGAGAAAUAGGUGUUUCAAAUGAAGGUCCAAUUACCAUCUACGUUGACAACAAAUCCGCUAUAUCACUUGCCAAGAAUCCGGUGUCGCACAGCCGAAGCAAGCACAUCGAUACGAAGUAUCAUUUUAUCCGAGAGCAAGUGAAAAACAAAAACGUGGAGUUGGUCCAUUGCAGGACAGAAGAUCAACUGGCAGAUAUUUUCACAAAGCCGUUGAAAGUGGAGACAUUCAACAAAUUCAAAGAGAAGCUCAGUAUGAAAGUUGGGUUUGAGGGGGAGUGUUAGAAAUCAAACCCACUCCAAGCAUAAUCUAGAAGCAUGAGACGUGGAGCAAUUUUGUGCCAUGCAAAGUGCUGAAAUUUUAGCCAUACAAAGUGCUCCAUUAUUGAGAUGUUUUGUGGCUGGAAAUUAAGUGGAUUAAUAGCCACAUUUGUUGUCACUUUAUCAGCCUAUAAAUAGAGGCUUGAACUUGUGUUGUAAUGAAGAAAAAUGAGAAGAAAAAAGAAAUAAGAGAAGCAACGUGAGUGAGAGUGAGAAGGUUAGCAAACCUUGAGUGAGUUAAAAUCUAGCAGCAGCUAGACUAUCUAGUCAUUGAGAAAAUAUUUGUAAUCUUCGUAUUGUAAUAUAUUGAGUGUGUAAUAAAAAGUAAAUUUUCGGCCCAUCACGUUUCCAACAUAGCCCCAUGCACUUGGCCCUCCAAAUGGGGCAUACCAAGCUAGUGCUUCGACUGUUGAAGACCGAUAAAGACCUGGUUCGCGUCAAAGGAAGGGAAGGGAUGACCCCUUUCCAUUGUGCAGCUGCAGUGGGGAACUCUAAAUCUUUUAUUCCACUUCCUUGAAACUUGCCCUGAAUGCGUUGAGGAUGUCACGGUUCGUAACGAGACUGCAUUACAUCUUGCUCUGAAAAACGACCACACCGACGCUUUUAAUCUCUUACAUGGAUGGCUUCGAAAAAACCGUCGUGGAGGAGGCAAUGGUUUGGAAAGAAAGGUUGUGAAUUGGAGAGAUGAUGAUGAUAACACUGUGUUGCACAUUGCAGCUACAAAGCAACAACAUCAGGUAUAUAUGCAAUAUAAUGAUAAGUUGCGUUCCUUUGAUCAUUUUAUUAAUGAUUAUUUAUAAUAUUCUACGCAGGCAGUACAACUGUUGUUGGAUUCCUUUUAUGGGUUAGAUGCAAACGCUAAGAAUUCGGAAGGCUUGACAGCUCGAGAAAUCAUAGAAAGGGUUGAAAGACAAGGGUUGAACAUGAGUGGCGCCGAAGACGAUGAUACCACCACCGCCAAGAUUGAGCGCAUUAAGAAAAGAACUAGUAGGUCUGAAAGAGCAUUAGUAAAGUUGAUUCGGGCAAGGAAUGGGUUGUCAGAGAACAUGCUCAACGCAACACUGGUGGUAGCGGCGCUGGUCAUAACAGCAAUCUACCAGUCAUCUUUAAGUCCACCAAGAGGUCUUUGGCAAGGUGAUAACACUAGUAUCCCCACCACCACCUCAAACCUUACUACUACUACUAAAUUUAAACUCUUUAACGACAAUUACAGUGAGUAUCGUUUUAAAUUUCUGUUGGGUGAAGAAACAAGGAAAACUGGUACUGCAGUCAUGAAUCCCAACUUGUUUUUAGGGUUUUGGUUUUUCAAUUUUAUAGCAUUUGGGCUUCCAGUUCUUCUAACCGUUUUGCUUUUAUCCAAUGUACCUAGUAUUCUUCUCAUCCCGCUUUAUUAUCUAUCCGUCUCCUACUUUAACUGCAUGACAAUAGUAUCUCCUUCCACGUUUUGGGCAAACCUCAACUUUGUUGUCAUGUGGACAGCCAUUCUUCUCCCGUUGCUCUUAGUUGUUAGAAGCGUAUGGUUAUCGAAGCAGCCAAAGUACAGGGAAAUCAGACAAUUACGCAGACUUUUCCGCAAGUAGAAUAAUGUUGGAAUCAUUCAACGGUUGCGAAUGUCAAUGUAGUUUAUAUGUUCUAUUAUGUUAUGUACUUUUUUCCAUUUUCUCUGGAUUAAUAUCUUUUCUCUUCGGUAAAAAAAUUAUGAAAUUGCUUUGGAUAAAUCUAAUAAAUAAGAUUAGUUUUCCCAACAGAUCAUAUCUUUGUCCGUUGCAACCAAAGAAAAAAAAACAAAGAAAAACCAACCAUCCUAUUUUCUAAUUUAAAAAAUUAUUUUCCUUUUUGUGAAAAGAGAUGUUUUCGAAGUAUUGUUGAUUCAAAAGUAACAAAUUUUUCAACAAGUCGAUAUUUUUCUCUAAAUAUUUUCUAAAAAAAUGACAAAUUCAUAAACAACAGCUAUAUUCAUUGUAUUCAAAUGAAUCUUAAUAAAACCCUGUUCAUCAUUGAUGUCUAAAAGGAUUUUUUAUCCCAUUUCAAGCUAAAAGCAACUAUUUUUUUAAAAGCCAAAUUAGCUUUUCAAAACCAUCUUUUUUAAGUCAAAUCAAAAACUUCAAAUUUCGUUUUUACUUUUCUAAAGCUAGUUUUGAGUGUCUAAAUACAAUUUUAUCUCUCAUUUAUAUUAACUAUAUAAGCUAAAUAUAAUUUAAAUUAAAUUUUACAAAUAAUUUAUAUUAAUUACUUAAAAAUAACUCAAAUUAAUAUUUCGUAGAUUAUAAUAUUAACAAUGAGUAAUAAUAAAUAAAUUUAUUAUAUUUAUAAUAUAAUCUAAGUUGAAUAUUGUUGAUACCAAAAUAAUAAUAAUAAUAAUUUACAUUUGUGGUUGAUGAUAACCUUUCUAAAUUUCGUUUAAUAUAUGAUUUAUGCAAAUAAGAUUGGCAACUUAAGUUUCGACACGUCCCGCAAAAGUAUAAUAGACCGGCAAAUUGCAUUGUCAAAGUUGUUCCUAAUGAUUUAAAUAGGCCACAUGAUCAUGCUUGAUUUUUGUUUGAAAAAGAUGCUCAUCGAGCAAUGGUUAAUGUAGGCUCCCGUCAAUAGCUAGUUCCUUAAACUUGUGUAUUUUCUACAAAAAAGAUAUAUUUUACAUUUGUGUCAAUUCCAAUGGCUAUGCUUGGCUCGUAACGUAUUUUGAGCCUUGUCUUUUAUGGUUCUACAAAUGGGUGUUAAAUCCAUCAAAAACAAUAUUCAUAAGCCUGAACAAUAAAUAAAUAACAGCACAAAUAGUAGAGUCAAUCCCAUAGAAAAUAACUAUCGAGAUUGGUUAAGAUUGUUUUUUCAUCUUAUUAGACCCAUCACUUUGCAUCAUUCUUUUACUUAAGGUCGAGCAAUUAAGACAUACUUCAUAACUAAUUUUUUCCUAAUUUAUUCAUAACUAACUAAUUUUCAAGUAAGUGAUAGUUAGUGGUUCAUGUCAUUUUGCAACUCUCCUAAUUUAUUCAUCACUUGCAUUAUUUAAAAGAGUGCUAUAUAAUCAUUUUGCAACUCUCCUAAUGUAUAUAUAUACGGUGAUAAGUUGCGUAUAUCCCUUUGAUAAUUUAUUAAUGGCUGUUUCUACGCAGGCAAUGGAACUGUCGUUAGAUUCCUUUUGGUCGUUAGAUGUAAAAGCUAACAACUCGGAAGGUUUGACAGCUGGAGAAACCAUUGCAAAAGGUUAAAAGACAAGGCUUGAACGUGAGUGGCGAAGAGGAUGAUACCACUGCCAAGAUUAAUCGCAUCAAGAAAAAAACUAGUUGGAUUGAAAGAGUAUGUAGUAUGUACAACGAGGAUUCGUGCAAGGAAUGAAUUAUCGGAGAACAUGAUCAAUGCAACCCCGGUGGUUACGACGCUGGUUAUAACAGCAAUCUACCAAUCAUGUUUAAGUCCACCGGCAGGUGCUCGGCAAGAUGAAGGUGAUCACAGUAUCUCCAUCUCAAACACUACUCUUCCCCUCGCUGUCAACAAACACGAUGAAUCCUUUUUGGGUCUAGGAUCAAGACAAAUUGGUACAACAAUAAUGAAUCCUCUAUGGUAUUUAUUGUUUUGGUUUAUUAAUAUUUUAGCAUUUGAGCUUCCUGUUCUUAUAACAGUUUUGGUGCUCACUAAUGUUCCUUUUGUACUUCUCCCGCUUUCUUAUCUAAGCGUGUCUUAGUAUUACUCGAUGGCAACAAUAUCACCCAUGAUGAUGUGGGCAAUAGUCAACACCAUUCUCACGAUAAUAGUUUCUUGGCUCCCGACUUUCGUUUAUUUUAAAGUCAUACAAUCAUAUAUGUCCCAAAAUUCCAAGUAGUUCAAACACUUACGUAGAGUUUUUCGUAGUGACAGCAAUGUCGGAGUCAUUCAACGCUUGAAAAGGACAAUCUAGUUUAUAUUGUACUAUACUUUAUGUACUUAUAUAUAUACACAUAUGUAUAAAAAAAUAUGAAAUAUGCAUUUAUAUAUAUACACAUGUAUAUAAAAAAAUUAAGAAAUAAAAAAAUGUAAAGUAUGUAUAUAAAAAAAUUGAAAUAUGCAUUUAUAUAUAUACACAUAUGUAUAGAAAAAUAUGAAAUAUAUAAAAAUAUAUGAAUGUGUGCGAGUAAUAUACAUAAAAGUAUAAACGUAUAUAUACUUAUCAUAAAAUAGGUAUGCGUAUAUAAACAUAUUUUGAAACUAUAAGAUAUGUAAAACACAUUUAAUGUCAAACGUACACACAUAUGUGUAAUGAGAUAUAUGUAUAUGUAUUUACAAAAUAAAAAAAAUAUAUAAGUAUAAUAUAUAUAAGUAAAUUAUGAAAAUAUAUGUAUGUAUAUAUUAAAAUAUGUAUAUAUAAGUAUAAUAUGUAUAUAAAAAAAUGACAUAUGCAAAAAAACAAAUAUAUAUUUAUAAUAAUUUAAAAUAAUAAUAAAAAUGUAUGUAUAUACGUAUUAUAAGAAUGUAUGCAUGUAUUUAGGAUUAUAAAAUAUGAAAAUAUAUGCGCAUAUGUAUAUGUAUUAUAAAAUGUACAUAUAUAUUUUAAAAUUAUAAAACACAAAACAAACAAAAACAAAUGUAUGUACGUAUAUGAAAUAUAAAAUGUAUAUGCAUAUAUUAUAAGAAGUAUGCACAAAUACAUGGUUAUAAUAAUAAUAAUAAUAAUAAUAAUAAUAAUGAUGCAAUAUAACAGUAUUAAUAAUAUAUUAAAAUACUUAAAAAACCCAAAAAGACAGAUUAAGGAUUAAAUUGAAAAUAAACGGAGUUUGGGGGCCGAAUUAAAAAAUGGAAAACACAAAAAGGGACCAAAUCAUAAAGCGCGAAACAGGAAGAAGACCCAAAGGGAAAUAUCCCCAAGCUAAUCCAACGGCGUCGUUCUAGUGAGACCUAUGCGCAUGGUCUAUGGACCAAAUUGAAACAAGAGAGAAAUUUUGUGGCCAAAAUUGAAAAUAUGUGAAAAAAACUUCAUUGAAGAUGGCACAAAAGAAAGGGGACCGAUUGCGAAAAUAUCUCCACCAGCGAAAACACGCGGGUCACCUAGGCCUGUCGGGUCACACACGCGGGUAUAGGCCUAUACGGCGCCGUUUUGGGGCCACUGAAACAGGCCUAAACGACGCCGUUUCAUGCCCUUAUAUAAAAAUCAAAAAUUUUCUAAAGGAUUCAUUUUUUUCCCUUCUUUUACAGAAAACAGAUGAACCCUCUGCUAGGAUUCUCAUUUCCCUUUGCCGCCGCCGCCAAGAGGACCGUCCCACAGCUUCCGUUGCCGCCCCAGUCUCUGAUUGCGACGAAGAGGGGAAAGAUUCAACAAUACUAGGUAAAUUUUUCACCUCUUAAUCUUUUCUUUUUCCUUUUUUACACACGAUGAAUAAACAAAAAGAUUCAAAAAUAGAAACAAACAAUCGUUGCAAAAAAUCACCUCCAGUAUACUGUUUUUUUAUUUUCUUCUAUUUUUUCUGUAUCAAUCCGUUUUUCUCUUUUCAAUCCCCCCAUUUACGAAAAAAAAACCCCUUUUAUCACUUUUUUAUCUUUCUGUUAUGCUAACGUGCUCGCGGUUUGUGGUUUGUUGCUGGAAGAUCGUGCAUGGUGGGCGACGUGCUGCGAUGUUGGGACGUGGGUGAGGUUGCUGCGGCUGCUGGUUUUGCUGCUAGCUGCUAGGGUUUCUAAAACUUUAGGCUAAUUGGGCCUAGUAAUUGGAUUAGGAUUGGCCCAAAUUUUAUUGGAUUUGUAAUUGUAUUUAGUUUUAGUAUUUGAUUUGGGCCCUGGGCAAUAAUUGGGUAUUACACCCUUGACGGAUUAGUUUAGUGUAAGCUUGGUUUAAAUCAGUUGAGGUUUCAAAUAAGGAUAGUCAGUUUGCAACUCUCCUAAUUUCUUCAUCAUUUAAAGAAAGAAACAAAAGCAUGGAUCCAAGCUUGCGAGAAGUAGCUGGAACAGGAGAUACUGAUGCCUUGUACGCUCUAAUUCGAAAGGAUCCGUACAUGUUGGAGCAUAUUGAUCAGAUUCCUUUCAUCGAUACUCCACUUCACAUAGCAGCAAAUGAAGGCCAAAUUAAGUUUGCAAUGGAGAUGAUCAACUUGAAGCCUUCGUUUGGUCGGAAGCUAAACCAAGACGGGUUUAGCCCCAUGCACUUGGCCCUCAAAAUGGGGCAUACCAAGCUAGUGCUUCGACUGUUGAAGACCGAUAAAGACCUGGUUCGCGUCAAAGGAAGGGAAGGGAUGACUCCUUUCCAUUGGGCAGCUGCAGUGGGGAACCCUAAUCUUUUAUUCCACUUCCUUGAAACUUGCCCUGAAUGCGUUGAGGAUGUCACGGUUCGUAACGAGACUGCAUUACAUCUUGCUCUGAAAAACGACCACACAGACGCUUUUAAUCUCUUACAUGGAUGGCUUCGAAAGAACCGUCGAGGAGGAGGCAAUGGUUUGGAAAGAAAGGUUGUGAAUUGGAGAGAUGAUGAUGACAACACUGUGUUGCACAUUGCAGCUACAAAGCAACAACAUCAGGUAUAUAUGCAAUAUAAUGAUAAGUUGCGUUCCUUUGAUCAUUUUAUUAAUUAUGACUAUUUAUAAUAUUCUACGCAGGCAGUACAACUGUUGUUGGAGUCCUUUUAUGGGUUAGAUGCAAACGCUAAGAACUCGGAAGGUUUGACAGCUCGAGAAAUCAUAGAAAGGGUUGAAAGACAAGGGCUGAACAUGAGUGGCGCCGAAGACGAUGAUACCACCACCGCCAAGAUUGAGCGCAUUAAGAAAAGAACUAGUAGGUCUGAAAGAGCAUUAGUGAAGUUGAUUCGUGCAAGGAAUGGGUUGUCGGAGAACAUGCUCAACGCAACACUGGUGGUAGCGGCGCUGGUCAUAACAGCAAUCUACCAGUCCUCUUUAAGCCCACCAAGAGGUCUUUGGCAAGGUGAUAACACUAUCCCCACCACCACCACAAACCUUACUACCACUACUAAAUUUAAACUCUUUAACGACAACUACAGUGAGUAUCGUUUUAAAUUUCUGUUGGGUGAAGAAACAAGGAAAACUGGUACAGCAAUCAUGAAUCCCAACUUGUUUUUAGGGUUUUGGUUUUUCAAUUUUAUAGCAUUUGGGCUUCCAGUUCUUCUAACCGUUUUGCUUUUAUCCAAUGUACCUAGUAUUCUUCUCAUCCCGCUUUAUUAUCUAUCCGUCUCCUACUUUAACUGCAUGACAAUAAUAUCUCCUUCCACGUUUUGGGCAAGCAUCAACUUUGUUGUCAUGUGGACAGCCAUUCUUCUCCCGUUGCUCUUAGUUGUUAGAAG
rnacentral:lncRNA from 1 species